AUUGAACGCUGGCGGCAUGCCUUACACAUGCAAGUCGAACGGCAGCACGGGGCAACCUGGUGGCGAGUGGCGAACGGGUGAGUAAUGCAUCGGAACGUACCUUUCAGUGGGGGAUAACGUAGCGAAAGUUACGCUAAUACCGCAUAUUCUGUGAGCAGGAAAGCAGGGGAUCGCAAGACCUUGCGCUGAUUGAGCGGCCGAUGUCAGAUUAGCUAGUUGGUGAGGUAAAGGCUCACCAAGGCGACGAUCUGUAGCGGGUCUGAGAGGAUGAUCCGCCACACGGGAACUGAGACACGGUCCAGACUCCUACGGGAGGCAGCAGUGGGGAAUUUUGGACAAUGGGGGAAACCCUGAUCCAGCCAUGCCGCGUGAGUGAAGAAGGCCUUCGGGUUGUAAAGCUCUUUCGGCCGGGAAGAAAUCGCACGGGCUAAUACCCUGUGUGAAUGACGGUACCGGAAUAAGAAGCACCGGCUAACUACGUGCCAGCCGCCGCCGUAAAAC
rnacentral:rRNA from 1 species